rnacentral:lncRNA from 1 species
UCGUAUCAUUGUGGAUGUGAAUUAGCUGAAUAAAUAGAUGAAAACAAGAAAAUAUGGAAGAAUUGAAAUAGCAGUUUGGAACCCAUAAAUGGAAGAACGAAAGUUCUAUGGAUUGACAUAAACUCUGUGGAUAGAAACGAAAAAAGAGAUAUCGAAGUAGUAGUAGUUCUGAUCAUUUAAUAAUAUUCUCACUUAAAUUCCAAGUUCUUAGUUACUU